UACGUAGGGGGCAAGCGUUGUCCGGAAUUAUUGGGCGUAAAGAGCGUGUAGGCGGCCAGAUAAGUCCGCUGUGAAAUCUCGAGGCUCAACUUCGAGCUGCCGGUGGAAACUAUCUGGCUAGAGUCCGGAAGAGGAGAAUGGAAUUCCUGGUGUAGCGGUGAAAUGCGCAGAUAUCAGGAAGAACACCCGUGGCGAAGGCGGUUCUCUGGGACGGUACUGACGCUGAGGAGCGAAAGCCAGGGGAGCAAACGGG
rnacentral:rRNA from 1 species